AUUGAACGCUGGCGGCAGGCCUAACACAUGCAAGUCGAGCGGAUGGAGGGAGCUUGCUCCUGGAUUCAGCGGCGGACGGGUGAGUAAUGCCUAGGAAUCUGCCUGGUAGUGGGGGAUAACGUCCGGAAACGGGCGCUAAUACCGCAUACGUCCUGAGGGAGAAAGUGGGGGAUCUUCGGACCUCACGCUAUCAGAUGAGCCUAGGUCGGAUUAGCUAGUUGGUGGGUAAAGGCCUACCAAGGCGACGAUCCGUAACUGGUCUGAGAGGAUGAUCAGUCACACUGGAACUGAGACACGGUCCAGACUCCUACGGGAGGCAGCAGUGGGGAAUAUUGGACAAAGGGCGGAAGCCUGAUCCAGCCAUGCCGCGUGUGUGAAGAAGGUCUUCGGAUUGUAAAGCACUUUAAGUUGGGAGGAAGGGCAGUAAGUUAAUACCUUGCUGUUUUGACGUUACCAACAGAAUAAGCACCGGCUAACUUCGUG
rnacentral:rRNA from 1 species